AAUGAAACAAAUUCCAAGUCAAGUUGCUCCACUACUAUAUUACAGAAGCAGUUUAGAAUUUUAAGCAGAUGCAAAAGGAAUAAAGCAUUUAAAUGGGGAGAAAAAAAGGCCGAUAAAGUUUCUGGCUACAAUACAAGAGACAUAUCAUUACCAUAUGAUCUAAUGUGGGUGUCAGCCGGAUUGUGCUCAUUGAGGGAAACCUUAUUUUUUAACUGUGCUAUGGAGUAGAAGCAGGAGGUUUUCAACCUAGUGACGGUCACAGAGCAGCACCUUCCCCCUCCUCCUUUCCACACCUGCAAACUCUUUUGCUUGGGCUGAAUAUUUAGUGUAAUUACAUCUCAGCUUUGAGGGCUCCUGUGGCAAAUCCCCGGAUUAAAAGGUUCCUUGGUUGUGAAAAUAUACCAGAGAAAUCAUGAAGGCAACUAUCAUCUUCCUCUUGGUUGCACAAGUUUCCUGGGCUGGACCGUUUCAACAGAAAGGCUUAUUUGACUUUAUGCUGGAAGAUGAGGCUUCUGGGAUCGGCCCGGACGACCGCUUCCAUGAAGUUCCUGAAUUAGAGCCUAUGGGCCCAGUCUGCCCUUUCCGUUGCCAGUGCCACCUGCGAGUUGUCCAGUGUUCUGAUCUGGGUGAGUGGGAUGCAGGCGCUCUAUCGACCUCAUCUGCUUUAUUCAUGGGAAUGGCUUCCCUGGGAGUGCAGCAUUUUCAAUUUCUGCAAUUCCAAAUGUGAGACACAGUGCCACCUAAUGAGGAGUA